ensembl:lncRNA
CUUGCAUGUAAUUAUGCAUAAUUUCUUGUUAUUAUAAUAGUAAAUGUAACAUGUGACAAGGACACCUUAAAAUAAAAUGUUACCAAAUUGGCGUCUAGCUGGAAUAAAGAAGGGUUAAGGUUUUUAUAUCAAUAAAAAAAAAAAUAAUAAUAGUAAUAAUAAAAAAACGUAGUGUUUUUAAUCUUUACUUUAUUUGAAAUAGCUUAUUAAUUUAUUUCAAAUUUGUUUGUUUAAUUUUAGUUAACUACAGUAACCCUCAUACACAAAUUUUCAGUAAAAACAUUUUAUUAUGCCGGAAAUGUGACCAUAAGGAGGUCAUAAAAAGCCCUGAAAAGUAGUUUCUCAUUGUUGGCAGUGUGUUUCCAUGGCAACACAUCCUGUGCAGUGAGGUAACCUGUGUCCCUCUGGUGAGGGUGCAGCAGACCAGUGUCAGUCACAUUAACCCCUGGUUAAACACAGCAACAUACAGCGUUUUGACGCAAACACAUGUCACAGCAGUGCAGUGCGUGCAGGUCAAACAGAAUGGCUUUGACAGCAGUCCACGGGUCUCACUGAAGAACAAUGAGAAAGAGGAUAGAAUAAAACAAAAGAGUUAGUAUGAUUCAUCAUUCGUUACUAACUUUAGGUUCAUAAAGCCACGCCUCCAUCCACGACUGAUUGACAGCUGACAUUCUGUCUCUGGAUAAAAGCUGUGCAAAUACAGGAUCCCGCUUCAUUUACCCUCAGUGCUUCUCUAGAGACUAUUACAGACACUCUUCAGCCAGAGGAAUACCAUUCAGUGAAUUUAAUUCCCAUUUCUCUUUCUUCAGCAUGAGGCACAUUAGAUUAUAUUACACUGGGGCUGCACUCUUCUUCUUGCUGUUCUCUGCAACAGGUGCUGAGCCCUACAGUCUGUUAAAAAUUCUGGAGGGCCUCCAGGCAGAGCCACAGAACUACCCUUCACCCCUGUACUCAUUCUCCCUCUGCAUGGAGAUCAACAACCGCGUCUUCAGCGACGCUCUCCUCAACUCAAGCUCACAGCAGUACAAGCACAUGUAUGAAGAGGUUGCUGGAGUUCUGGACAUCGCCUUUAACUGCUCUGACUGUGACACAAGAGAAACCUACAGAGGAGUGACAAACGUACAGUUCAGUAACGGGUCUGUGAUCGCAAAUUGUACGCUCCAGUUCCAGACCGUUUUUAUCAACCAUGUUGUGAUCAAGCAUUUGUUCCUGAGGGCCAUAGAUAAUAAAACUCACGUGAACAGUCUUGCAGUCAACAGACAGUACACAGCGGAAAUAGUCACACCUGCCUGGCUUUUUCCAAAGUCAACCACUUUUGCAGAAUCUAGUGCCGAGGGUCUUCCUUGGUGGGCCAUUGUAUUGCUAGUGCUGGCAUGCAUCAUCAUACUGCUGCUCUUCAUCCUCUUACUACUGUUAUGCUUUUGGUGCUGUAGGAGAAAAGAAAAACGGGAAGAAACACAAACCGUUGCUCCGUAUGAGAGAACGUCUUUCAAAGAACAUCUUGCCAAUCCCACAUAUCUGUCACACACACCUGAGAGGAGCCCCAACUACCAGAGCUUGGGAGAACCAGAAGCACAACAUGGCAACCGAUCCGGGAUGUACAUGACGAAUCCUCAGAGAUGAAAACCACAACACUGCUAUAAGAGAGAGGCAUGGAGUAACUGAUGCUAUGAAGGUCAGGAUGGUAACGUGGCUUCUCUCAUAGAAGAUGCUGGUUUCUUCAGCAAGUUUCUAAAAAUGUGGAUUGUCAUCAUUACCAUGUGUAAUCUAAGUAUUAUACUCAACUGGACAGACAAUUAUUUAUUUCUGUACUAUUUAUGAAACACAGAUAUGGGCAUUUGGGUCUGUGAACUUUUGCUUCUCUUACUCUAUUUCAGUGUAACAUAAGACCGGGUCUAGUUGUCACACUUUAUACUCCACUAAAUAUUUACCAGGUUAGGUUUAUUCUCAAGAAAGCCUUUGAACGUUUGCACUGUUUCAAAAAUAUUUCAUUUAAAGUGUACUUUAUGAUAUUCAGUGGUGUGAAUGUGAAAUUUCAGACAGUAAAACAAUUAUAAAACAGAAUCAUUAAAAAAUAAAAAAAAAUAAAAAAAAUCA